UACGUAGGUGGCAAGCGUUAUCCGGAAUCACUGGGCGUAAAGCGCACGUAGGCGGAUUUUUAAGUCAGGGGUGAAAUCCCGAGGCUCAACCUCGGAACUGCCUUUGAUACUGGAGAUCUUGAGUCCGGAAGAGGUAAGUGGAACUGCGAGUGUAGAGGUGAAAUUCGUAGAUAUUCGCAAGAACACCAGUGGCGAAGGCGGCUUACUGGUCCGGAACUGACGCUGAGGUGCGAAAGCGUGGGGAGCAAACAGG
rnacentral:rRNA from 1 species